AACGCGAAGAACCUUACCUGGGCUUGACAUGCAGGAAGUAGAAACCGGAAACGGCGACGACCUGUUAAGUCAGGAACCUGCACAGGUGGUGCAUGGCUGUCGUCAGCUCGUGCCGUGAGGUGUUGGGUUAAGUCCCGCAACGAGCGCAACCCUCACUCUAUGUUGCCAUCGGGUAAUGCCGGGCACUCUUAGGGAACUGCCGGCGAAGAGCUGGAGGAAGGGGGGAUGACGUCAAGUCCGUAUGCCCCUUAUGUCCAGGGCUACACACAUGCUACAAUGGCCGAUACAGAGGGUUCCCAACCCGCGAGGGGGAGGCAAUCCCACAAAGUCGGUCUCAGUUCGGAUUGCAGGCUGCAACUCGCCUGCAUGAAGUCGGAAUCGCUAGUAAGCGCAGAUCAGCAGGCUGCGCUGAAUACGUUCCCGGGCCUUGUA
rnacentral:rRNA from 1 species